GACGAGGGAUCCUAGCGUUGCUCGGAAUCAUUGGGCGUAAAGCGGGUGUAGGUGGGUUUGCAAGUCAGAUGUGAAAGCCCUAGGCUUAACCUAGGAAGUGCAUUUGAUACUGCAGAUCUUGAGUGUGGGAGAGGAUAGUAGAAUUCCUGGUGUAGUGGUGAAAUACGUAGAUAUCAGGAGGAAUACCGGAGGCGAAGGCGGCUAUCUGGCCCAACACUGACACUGAGACCCGAAAGCGUGGGGAUCAAACAGG
rnacentral:rRNA from 1 species